rnacentral:rRNA from 1 species
UACGUAGGGCGCAAGCGUUGUCCGGAAUUAUUGGGCGUAAAGAGCUCGUAGGCGGUUUGUCACGUCGGCUGUGAAAUCCCGAGGCUCAACCUCGGGCUUGCAGUCGAUACGGGCAGACUAGAGUGGAGCAGGGGAGACUGGAAUUCCUGGUGUAGCGGUGAAAUGCGCAGAUAUCAGGAGGAACACCGAUGGCGAAGGCAGGUCUCUGGGCUUUAACUGACGCUGAGGAGCGAAAGCGUGGGUAGCGAACAGG